CCUACGGGGUGCAGCAGUGGGGGAUAUUGCACAAUGGGGGGAACCCUGAUGCAGCGACGCCGCGUGGGUGAAGAAGCGCCUCGGCGCGUAAAGCCCUGUCAGCAGGGAAGAAAAUGACGGUACCUGAAGAAGAAGCCCCGGCUAACUACGUGCCAGCAGCCGCGGUAAUACGUAGGGGGCAAGCGGUAGCCGGAUUUACUGGGUGUAAAGGGGGCGCAGACGGCGCUGCAAGCCAGGAGUGAAAGCCCGGGGCUCAACCCCGGGACUGCGCGUGGAACUGGGUGGCUGGAGUGCAGGAGGGGCAGGCGGAAUUCCUGGUGUAGCGGUGAAAUGCGUAGAGAUCAGGAGGAACACCGGUGGCGAAGGCGGCCUGCUGGACUGCAACUGACGUUGAGGCUCGAAAGCGUGGGGAGCAAACAGGAUUAGAUACCCCGGUAGUC
rnacentral:rRNA from 1 species